GGUUAAGCGACUAAGCGUACACGGUGGAUGCCUAGGCAGUCAGAGGCGAUGAAGGGCGUGCUAAUCUGCGAAAAGCGUCGGUAAGCUGAUAUGAAGCGUAAUAACCGACGAUACCCGAAUGGGGAAACCCAGUGCAAUUCGUUGCACUAUUGCAUGGUGAAUACAUAGCCAUGCAAGGCGAACCGGGGGAACUGAAACAUCUAAGUACCCCGAGGAAAAGAAAUCAACCGAGAUUCCCCCAGUAGCGGCGAGCGAACGGGGAAGAGCCCAGAGUCUGAAUCAGUUUGUGUGUUAGUGGAAGCGUCUGGAAAGUCGCACGGUACAGGGUGAUAGUCCCGUACACAAAAACACACUGGCUGUGAACUCGAUGAGUAGGGCGGGACACGUGACAUCCUGUCUGAAUAUGGGGGGACCAUCCUCCAAGGCUAAAUACUCCUGACUGACCGAUAGUGAACCAGUACCGUGAGGGAAAGGCGAAAAGAACCCCGGCGAGGGGAGUGAAAUAGAACCUGAAACCGUGUACGUACAAGCAGUGGGAGCACCUUCGUGGUGUGACUGCGUACCUUUUGUAUAAUGGGUCAGCGACUUAUAUUUUGUAGCAAGGUUAACCGAAUAGGGGAGCCGUAGGGAAACCGAGUCUUAACUGGGCGUCUAGUUGCAAGGUAUAGACCCGAAACCCGGUGAUCUAGCCAUGGGCAGGUUGAAGGUUGGGUAACACUAACUGGAGGACCGAACCGACUAAUGUUGAAAAAUUAGCGGAUGACUUGUGGCUGGGGGUGAAAGGCCAAUCAAACCGGGAGAUAGCUGGUUCUCCCCGAAAGCUAUUUAGGUAGCGCCUCGUGAACUCAUCUUCGGGGGUAGAGCACUGUUUCGGCUAGGGGUCCAUCCCGGAUUACCAAACCGAUGCAAACUCCGAAUACCGAAGAAUGUUAUCACGGGAGACACACGGCGGGUGCUAACGUCCGUCGUGAAGAGGGAAACAACCCAGACCGCCAGCUAAGGUCCCAAAGUCAUGGUUAAGUGGGAAACGAUGUGGGAAGGCAUAGACAGCCAGGAUGUUGGCUUAGAAGCAGCCAUCAUUUAAAGAAAGCGUAAUAGCUCACUGGUCGAGUCGGCCUGCGCGGAAGAUGUAACGGGGCUAAACCAUGCACCGAAGCUGCGGCAGCGACGCUUAGGCGUUGUUGGGUAGGGGAGCGUUCUGUAAGCCGUUGAAGGUGGCCUGUGAGGGCUGCUGGAGGUAUCAGAAGUGCGAAUGCUGACAUAAGUAACGAUAAUGCGGGUGAAAAACCCGCACGCCGGAAGACCAAGGGUUCCUGUCCAACGUUAAUCGGGGCAGGGUGAGUCGACCCCUAAGGCGAGGCUGAAAAGCGUAGUCGAUGGGAAACAGGUUAAUAUUCCUGUACUGGGUGUGACUGCGAAGGGGGGACGGAGAAGGCUAGGCUAGCCGGGCGACGGUUGUCCCGGUUUAAGCAUGUAGGCGGAGCGACUUGGUAAAUCCGGUUGCUUAUCAACGCUGAGGUGUGAUGACGAGCCACUACGGUGGUGAAGUAGUUGAUGCCAAGCUUCCAGGAAAAGCCUCUAAGCAUCAGGUGACAUUCAAUCGUACCCCAAACCGACACAGGUGGUCAGGUAGAGAAUACUCAGGCGCUUGAGAGAACUCGGGUGAAGGAACUAGGCAAAAUGGUGCCGUAACUUCGGGAGAAGGCACGCUGGCAUUAGGUAAAGAGACUUGCUCUCGGCGCCGAAGCCAGUCGCAGAUACCAGCUGGCUGCAACUGUUUAAUAAAAACACAGCACUGUGCAAACACGAAAGUGGACGUAUACGGUGUGACGCCUGCCCGGUGCUGGAAGGUUAAUUGAUGGGGUCAGCCGCAAGGCGAAGCUCUUGAUCGAAGCCCCAGUAAACGGCGGCCGUAACUAUAACGGUCCUAAGGUAGCGAAAUUCCUUGUCGGGUAAGUUCCGACCUGCACGAAUGGCGUAAUGAUGGCCAGGCUGUCUCCACCCGAGACUCAGUGAAAUUGAACUCGCUGUGAAGAUGCAGUGUACCCGCGGCAAGACGGAAAGACCCCGUGAACCUUUACUAUAGCUUGACACUGAAUAUUGAGCCUUGAUGUGUAGGAUAGGUGGGAGGCAUUGAAGCGUGGACGCCAGUCUGCGUGGAGCCAACCUUGAAAUACCACCCUUUAAUGUUUGAUGUUCUAACUCGGCCCCAUAAUCUGGGGUGAGGACAGUGUCUGGUGGGUAGUUUGACUGGGGCGGUCUCCUCCCAAAGAGUAACGGAGGAGCACGAAGGUUAGCUAAUCACGGUCGGACAUCGUGAGGUUAGUGCAAAGGCAUAAGCUAGCUUGACUGCGAGAGUGACGGCUCGAGCAGGUACGAAAGUAGGUCUUAGUGAUCCGGUGGUUCUGAAUGGAAGGGCCAUCGCUCAACGGAUAAAAGGUACUCCGGGGAUAACAGGCUGAUACCGCCCAAGAGUUCAUAUCGACGGCGGUGUUUGGCACCUCGAUGUCGGCUCAUCACAUCCUGGGGCUGAAGUAGGUCCCAAGGGUAUGGCUGUUCGCCAUUUAAAGUGGUACGCGAGCUGGGUUUAGAACGUCGUGAGACAGUUCGGUCCCUAUCUGCCGUGGGCGUUGGAAGAUUGAGAGGGGCUGCUCCUAGUACGAGAGGACCGGAGUGGACGCAUCACUGGUGUUCGGGUUGUCAUGCCAAUGGCAUUGCCCGGUAGCUAAAUGCGGAAAAGAUAAGCGCUGAAAGCAUCUAAGCGCGAAACUUGCCUCGAGAUGAGUCUUCCCUGGGGCUUUAAGCCCCCUGAAGGAACGUUAAAGACUAUGACGUUGAUAGGCUGGGUGUGUAAGUGCAGCGAUGCAUUGAGCUAACCAGUACUAAUGAUCCGUGAGGCUUAACCUU
rnacentral:rRNA from 1 species